GUUUAGUUAUAUUUUUACUGAUUUUUAUAGAGUAAAGAUAGAAAUAAAACUUAGUAAAAUCAGUAAAAAUAUUCUUAGGCUAAAGUUAAGUAGUUUAAGUUGUGUGCAAGUGGUAGGAGAGCGUUCUAUUUGCGUCGAAGGUAUACCGGUAAGGAGUGCUGGAGCGAAUAGAAGUGAGCAUGCAGGCAUGAGUAGCGAUAAUUAAUGUGAGAAUCAUUAACGCCGUAAACCCAAGGUUUCCUACGCGAUGCUCGUCAUCGUAGGGUUAGUCGGGUCCUAAGUCGAGUCCGAAAGGGGUAGACGAUGGCAAAUUGGUUAAUAUUCCAAUACCAACAUUAGUGUGCGAUGGAAGGACGCUUAGGGCUAAGGGGGCUAGCGGAUGGAAGUGCUAGUCUAAGGUCGUAGGAGGUUAUACAGGCAAAUCCGUAUAACAAUACUCCGAGAACUGAAAGGCUUUUUGAAGUCUUCGGAUGGAUAGAAGAACCCCUGAUGCCGUCGAGCCAAGAAAAGUUUCUAAGUUUAGCUAAUGUUGCCCGUACCGUAAACCGACACAGGUGGGUGGGAUGAGUAUUCUAAGGCGCGUGGAAGAACUCUCUUUAAGGAACUCUGCAAAAUAGCACCGUAUCUUCGGUAUAAGGUGUGGUUAGCUUUGUAUUAGGAUUUACUCCGAAAGCAAGGAAACUUACAACAAAGAGUCCCUCCCGACUGUUUACCAAAAACACAGCACUCUGCUAACUCGUAAGAGGAUGUAUAGGGUGUGACGCCUGCCCGGUGCUCGAAGGUUAAUUGAUGGGGUUAGCAUUAGCGAAGCUCUUGAUCGAAGCCCGAGUAAACGGCGGCCGUAACUAUAACGGUCCUAAGGUAGCGAAAUUCCUUGUCGGUUAAAUACCGACCUGCAUGAAUGGCGUAACGAGAUGGGAGCUGUCUCAAAGAGGGAUCCAGUGAAAUUGUAGUGGAGGUGAAAAUUCCUCCUACCCGCGGCAAGACGGAAAGACCCCGUGGACCUUUACUACAGCUUGACACUGCUACUUGGAUAAGAAUGUGCAGGAUAGGUGGGAGGCUUUGAGUAUAUGACGCCAGUUGUAUAUGAGCCAUUGUUGAGAUACCACUCUUUCUUAUUUGGGUAGCUAACCAGCUUGAGUUAUCCUCAAGUGGGACAAUGUCUGGUGGGUAGUUUGACUGGGGCGGUCGCCUCCCAAAUAAUAACGGAGGCUUACAAAGGUUGGCUCAGAACGGUUGGAAAUCGUUCGUAGAGUAUAAAGGUAUAAGCCAGCUUAACUGCAAGACAUACAAGUCAAGCAGAGACGAAAGUCGGUCUUAGUGAUCCGGUGGUUCUGUGUGGAAGGGCCAUCGCUCAAAGGAUAAAAGGUACCCCGGGGAUAACAGGCUGAUCUCCCCCAAGAGCUCACAUCGACGGGGAGGUUUGGCACCUCGAUGUCGGCUCAUCGCAUCCUGGGGCUGGAGCAGGUCCCAAGGGUAUGGCUGUUCGCCAUUUAAAGCGGUACGCGAGCUGGGUUCAGAACGUCGUGAGACAGUUCGGUCCCUAUCUGCCGUGGGCGUAAGAAGAUUGAAGAGAUUUGACCCUAGUACGAGAGGACCGGGUUGAACAAACCACUGGUGUAGCUGUUGUUCUGCCAAGAGCAUCGCAGCGUAGCUAAGUUUGGAAAGGAUAAACGCUGAAAGCAUCUAAGCGUGAAGCCAACUCUAAGAUGAAUCUUCUCUAAGCUCUCUAGAAGACUACUAGUUUGAUAGGCUGGGUGUGUAAUGGAUGAAAGUCCUUUAGCUGACCAGUACUAAUAGAGCGUUUGGCUUAUCUUU
rnacentral:rRNA from 1 species